rnacentral:rRNA from 1 species
UACGUAGGGUCCGAGCGUUGUCCGGAGUUACUGGGCGUAAAGCGCGCGCAGGCGGCGGUGCUGGCCCGGCGUGAAAGCCCCCGGCUCAACCGGGGAGAGUCGUCGGGGACCGCACCGCUUGAGGGGCGGUAGGGGCUGGUGGAAUGCCUGGUGUAGUGGUGAAAUGCGUAGAGAUCAGGCAGAACACCUGGGGCGAAGGCGGCCAGCUGGGCCGUCCCUGACGCUGGAGGCGCGAAGGCGUGGGGAGCGAACGGG